UGAGAUUUCUGCUCCAUUGCAGAAACCAAAUGUGAGAAGCCAGGAGAUCCGGAGGGCUGUGGAAACAGAGCAGCGUUACAGGAUGAGGACGCUUGGAUGCUCUUCUUCUGAGGAAUUGACUGACGAGAGGACUGCCCAGUCACAGAAGAGAGAAUGGGAAGAAGAGUCAGUGUUUCUCCUGAGAUUCCCGGUAACACUGAGGGGUCAGCCUCCAUCCAAGAAGCAGAGAGUCAGCGCUGGGUUCCAUGACGGCAGAGCGUUGUUCGACAAGUGGAGGCGUAUGCAGCUUGGCCCCCAGAAGGAACAUCUCUUGUCCACAUGUUGAAGACCAACACAGACGACUCAAACGCUGGCAAGACACAUCAAGAUGGAGGAAAAAGUUCAUGGAGCCGUAGUUCAUUUGUGGCCUCUCUGACUAUUGGAGUGAUCUUUGUUGUUUGAUCGCUCCUGUGGAGGAAAACAUCUUAGAUCUGGAAACGGGUAUCCUUCCAAGACUCCGCAACAAAGGCUGAAAGGACGAAGCAAGAACAAGGAAAGCCCAGGGGGAGAUGUGGAGGGCGACGCAGAGCCUCAGCUGCAGAAUAAAAUGAAAGCGCAGUUCUUUGUCAUGGAUGUGGCUUGCAAAUAUUGGCCCUACCUCAACAAAGCUACCAGUGUCCUUCCGGCCCUCCAGGAGCUGACAAAAAUGAAACCUUUCCUCAGUAGACACCAAAUGCACCUCAUACCUCUGAAGGCACCACACAGGAGGAUAUACAGCCAGUCCAGUCCAUUGUGGGUCUCUACCUCAGUGUCAGGCAACAGAAGCAAACCCUCUACUGUCAGAAUGACAGCAGCAAGCUUUGCCACCGCCCUGCAGGAAGCUGGGAGAGGACAAAAAAACGCUUCUUCAGGAGAUGCAGAGAUACAAUAGUCUAGUACCAGACUCUGCAAAAGUUGAUGUGGCUCUUGUGGAGCAGACAUUAACUGGAGAGAGCGCUGUGUCCCCUCUGUGGCCGUGGGAGGUUCACGGCAGUGACAUCGCCAUCAAGAAGAGACUGUAUGAUGUUAAGAAGACAAUAUUCAGAGGUGUCAGAGCAGAUGCACGUGGUCCUCCAGCAGUACAAGACUGCUUUAGGUCCCGAGGCCUCUGUCCUUCUACAAAUGGAGGAGGAUCAAAGUGCUCUCAGCAGUCCAGACAGCAGUGAAGACGAAGAGGAUGUCACAGAUUCGGUAAUUUCCUGAGGGCUUAUUGAUUACCGUACGCCUGAUAAUUCCAGACUUCUAGAUGAUGGUGAUGAUUGCUACACUAAUUCAUUUUUUCCCAUUUCCAUAAUAUGGCCUUUCAGAACCACUUUAACCCCUCCCUCAGUCUUAAAGGAUGAUCCAAGAUGAUCUUUGAUGAUCAAGAAUAUAAGGGAUAACUGUAUCAGGAUUACACCUUUCCAAUGGCAUGACAACCGUCAAAUCGGGUUGAAAGAGAAACAAUGUCUCACAUAGGCAGGCUGUGGCAAAAGGAAGUAUGGCCCGUUUCCUCUCUUACCCACUGGCUCAGGGUCAGCAUGAAGGCAGGGAAGGUCACACACUUUUCUUACUCUGUUCUAUGUUGAGAUUAGCACUCUGCCAAAGAACUUGUUGUAACAGGUGUCUGGAGAAUAUCCCAAAGAUCGACAUUAAUCUUAUAUGAGUGAAAGGCAUCAGUGUCAUUCCUAUGAAUCAGUAAUUAUCUGUGGUUUCAGGAACUGAGUUUUGUUGGUGCAUUGGGAGACGUUUGAUAUUUAAACCUUAAUUUGACAUUUGACAUCUUCAUUAUAAAAUAUAUUUUAACCUGUGAUUCAAAAUCACUCUACAGACACAAAAGGGCGUUUCUAAUUAUUUUCUAAUUAUUAUUAAUGCGUGGAAUAUUAAUAAUAUUAAUUUGGUCAGUACACAAUUGCAAUUAAUGCACCACAGUUAGCUAAUGUACAUGUCUGUCUACCCCGUCUAACCUCUCUCUCUCUCGCUCUACUGACUUAAUGGGGAAAGUCUAAAGGUGAGCAGCAUAGGUUGACUAUGACCUGCCACAACUAACUACACUCAGUUGUUGCUACUUUAUGUGCGGUGACACACAGUAUAUGUAUUAUAAGUUAACAGUUACUCCUGUCCUGGAAGUGGGACUCCGGUUAGCUGUGAGAGAGGAGGAUGCUAAGGAAAAGUCAGCACCCACCUCCCUGCACACCACAUUCUCAUUAUUCCUAUUGUAUAAUAUAUGAAGUAAAUUAACCUUUAGUUUAUUCUUUUUACCUUUAUGGAAUUUACCAGUAUUGUUAUUCAUAUACUGAAUCAUUUGUGAUCACUCCAUUCACACAAUAUUUUGUACUUUUUUCUCACAUUUUUCUUUCUUUUUUCUUUUCUUUUUUUUUUACAGUUUUCCAUUUUUUUUUACAGUUAUUGUCGACCACUGUGACUUUGGAACAAUAAUAACAAUCUGGCAUGAGAAUAUCCUUUGGUAUACAAGAAGAACUUGCUUGUCUUAUUUUGUUUUUAAUCAGGUCUAAGAAUUUAAACUAUUUCACAUUAACAUGUGUACUUAACUUUAGACUUUAUGCCUCCAAGUUGGCAGCAGAAUAGGUUUGUGAAACUUAAAAUAAAAUACUGAAAUGAAUGGA